UACCUGCCACACCUUGGUGGUUUGAUUUGAUAUAUCAUUUUGUGAUAUCAUCUUGCAGUCUGACUCUCUGUGUAAUGUUGAGAAGGGCUUCUACGAUGGUGUCUUCCUGGAGAAAGACGAUGACGUCAAACAUGUCCAUACAUGUAAUUAUUCUUACAGUUUCAAUAGCUUUAAUGUCACCCAGUUUAGAACUUGUUUCUUUCAUUCCCCUCACCUGGUUGUCCAGGGCUUCAUUGAAAGGACAAACCAGCAGACACUAGGCCCUCCAUGGAAUGAGUUUGACACCCCUAAUGUAGACUAACCUACCCACAGAGCCUACCUGCACUAUAGGCCUAUUUGCUAACUGUUGGCUAGAGCGGCCGUGCCAAGACCAGAGGAGGCACAUUUGCUCUUUAAUGCAACAGUUUGUGACAAAACUAUUGGUAGAGUUGAAAAUGCGAUGGAAACACAUUGAACAUUAGAUUUUUAUUCGGUACAUGAAAACUUAAGCGACGUCAUCACACACUGAUUUUUUUAUCUGUAACAAGUCAGUUUGUUGGAAACAACUCACUGAUGGGAAAAUACACAUAUUUUCUUUAUGCAGAUUUUAGAAUAUUCACAUGAAAAUCUGUCAACAAUUGGAUGGAAACCUAGCUACUGCUAAACGAUAUGAGUGGUGUAGGUAAGUGAUGAAGUGAAAACCUAUAGGAGGAUAGCUCUCUACGAGGUGGGAUGAGCAUGAAAUGACAGCAGGCUGUUCAACACUGAGCCAUGCUGACUGACAGACGGCAUGGAUUGGUACAUGGCAAUUCAGUCCCACAUCAUGUGUUAUCACUUAUUUGGCUAAAUGAUUAUCCAUAGUUGCCUCUUUUGAUCCAGCCACAGCAGUCUGGAAAUGAACUGUUACCUUGGAAGCAACAUUAAGAUGUUAAAACUUUUACACUCCAAUUGAACUCUGCCUGUGACAUUUUCUCACAUCUUAUUUUCCUCUCUCUCUCAAUCCAGCUGUUCUCAGGAGACAUUUCAGUGUGUGUAGAACACAUUUGACCAGGUAGAGUCAGGCUUCUACUUCAUUGCCCUGGACCACUACACCAACGAGGCAGAUGACACCAACUUUGGACCAUUCUGCCCUCUCUAUAGAUAAUGCUGAUGCCCCACCGUAAGAACCUGGAGCUCUUCACUGGCUCUGUGGGAGGUGACGUGGCCACAAAUCAGUGCCUGGGACACCUUACAGCGCUACCACUGUCUGGACAACAGCCAAAGGGUGGUCAAGACAUCUACUGCAACUUCAUCUUUAGUGUGUCAGCUCUGCUGCACCUGAGAGAUAAAGAUGGCUCUGGCUUGCUGAUGACAUCUGAUCUGACUCCUUGCAAUUUGACUCCUGUAUUACUGACUGUAUUAAAUAAAACUUCCAAUGGCAAAUUGAAAUAUUUUUUGAUUCUGUUAUUGAUAGACAAUGGUACUUCCCAAUCAGACAAUUACAACAAAAAAAAGAAAUAAUGAAUCUGUUUUCCUCAGUGUUUGGUGAAUGCAUUGUGUUGUUUUGUCCUCAGUCCUCCUUUGAAUGCUGUGUGUAGUGAUUCAGUUCUAAACAACCGUCAUCGAGUCCAUCAAAUCAAAUGUACAUUGUCAAAUUAAAUAAAAUGUAUUUGUCACAUACACAUAGUUAGCAAAUGUUAAUGCGAGUGUAGCGAAAUUGUCACGUUCUGACCUUAGUUCCUUUGUUAUGUCUUUAUUUUAGUUUGGUCAGGGUGUGAGUUGGGGUGGGCAUUCUAUGUUGUUUUUCUAUGUUUUGUUCUGUUGUUAGAUUUCUAUGUGUUGGGCCUAGUAUGGUUCUCAAAUCAGAGGCAGGUGUCAGUCGUUGUCUCUGAUUGGGAGCCAUAUUUAGGUAGCCUGUUUGUCAUUGUGUGUUGUAGGUGAUUAUUUUCUGUUCUGUGUUUUG